rnacentral:rRNA from 1 species
GGGGAAUAUUGCACAAUGGGCGCAAGCCUGAUGCAGCGACGCCGCGUGGGGGAUGACGGCCUUCGGGUUGUAAACUCCUUUCGCUAGGGACGAAGCUUUUGUGACGGUACCUAGAUAAGAAGCACCGGCUAACUACGUGCCAGCAGCCGCGGUAAUACGUAGGGUGCGAGCGUUGUCCGGAAUUACUGGGCGUAAAGGGCUCGUAGGUGGUUUGUCGCGUCGUCUGUGAAAUUCCGGGGCUUAACUCCGGGCGUGCAGGCGAUACGGGCAUAACUUGAGUACUGUAGGGGUAACUGGAAUUCCUGGUGUAGCGGUGAAAUGCGCAGAUAUCAGGAGGAACACCGAUGGCGAAGGCAGGUUACUGGGCAGUUACUGACGCUGAGGAGCGAAAGCAUGGGUAGCGAACAGGAUUAGAUACCCUGGUAGUCCAUGCCGUAAACGGUGGGCGCUAGGUGUGAGGGUCCUUUCACGACUUUCGUGCCGUAGCUAACGCAUUAAGCGCCCCGCCUGGGGAGUACGGCCGCAAGGCUA